UGCUUAACACAUGCAAGUCGAACGCAACCUUCGGGUUGAGUGGCGGACGGGUGAGUAACGCGUGAGAAUCUGCCUUGGGGUCGGGGACAACCACUGGAAACGGUGGCUAAUACCGGAUAAGCCUUUGGGUAAAAAAUUUAUUGCCCCAAGAGGAGCUCGCGUCUGAUUAGCUAGUUGGUGAGGUAAAAGCUCACCAAUGCAGCGAUCAGUAGCUGGUCUGAGAGGACGAUCAGCCACACUGGGACUGAGACACGGCCCAGACUCCUACGGGAGGCAGCAGUGGGGAAUUUUCCGCAAUGGGCGAAAGCCUGACGGAGCAAGACCGCGUGAGGGAGGAAGGCUCUUGGGUUGUAAACCUCUUUUCUCAGGGAAGAAGCUCUGACGGUACCUGAGGAAUCAGCCUCGGCUAACUCCGUGCCAGCAGCCGCGGUAAUACGGAGGAGGCAAGCGUUAUCCGGAAUUACUGGGCGUAAAGCGCACGUAGGCGGCGCUGCAAGUGGUGCGUGAAAGCUCCCGGCUCAACUGGGAGAGGCCGUACCAAACUGCGGUGCUAGAGACAGAUAGAGGUCGACAGAAUUCCGGGUGGAGUGGUGAAAUGCGUAGAGAUCCGGAGGAAUACCAGAGGCGAAGGCGGUCGGCUGGGUCUGGUCUGACGCUGAGGUGCGAAAGUGUGGGGAGCGAACGGGAUUAGAAACCCCGGUAGUCCACACCGUAAACGAUGCAUACUAGUUGUUAGGUGCCUACGGGCGCUGAGUGACGAAGCCAACGCGUUAAGUAUGCCGCCUGGGGAGUACGGUCGCAAGGCUAAAACUCAAAGGAAUUGACGGGGGCCCGCACAAGCAGCGGAGCGUGUGGUUUAAUUCGAGGCUACGCGAAGAACCCUACCUGGGCUUGACAUGAUAGUAGUACCCGGGUGGAAACACCGGGGGACCUUCGGGAGCUAUCACAGGUGCUGCAUGGCUGUCGUCAGCUCGUGCCGUGAGGUGUUCGGUUAAGUCCGAAAACGAGCGCAACCCCUGGCGUUAGUUACAAGUGUCUAACGCGACUGCCCGGGGAAACUGGGAGGAAGGUGGGGAUGACGUCAAGUCAGCAUGGCCUUUAUGUCCAGGGCGACACACACGCUACAAUGGCCGGUACAAUAGGCAGCCAAGCCGCGAGGUGGAGCGAAUCCAACAAAACCGGUCUCAGUCCAGAUUGUAGGCUGCAACUCGCCUGCAUGAAGUCGGAGUUGCUAGUAAACGCGGAUCAGCCACGCCGCGUUGAAUACGUUCCCGGGCCUUGUACACACCGCCCGUCACGUCAUGGAAGCUGGUCACGCAUGAAGUCGGAGAGCGAACCGAAAGGA
rnacentral:rRNA from 1 species